rnacentral:rRNA from 1 species
GGACGAACGCUGGCGGCGUGCUUAACACAUGCAAGUCGAACGAGAAUCCGUGGAAAGAGAUUACGGUCAAUGGAAGCGGAGGAAAGUGGCGGACGGGUGAGUAACGCGUGAGGAACCUGCCUUAGAGAGGGGGACAACAGCUGGAAACGGCUGCUAAUACCGCAUGACAUAUCGCUGUCGCAUGGCGGCGAUAUCAAAAGAUUUAUCGCUCUGAGAUGGCCUCGCGUCUGAUUAGCUUGUUGGCGGGGUAACGGCCCACCAAGGCGACGAUCAGUAGCCGGACUGAGAGGUUGAACGGCCACAUUGGGACUGAGAUACGGCCCAGACUCCUACGGGAGGCAACAGGUGGGGAAUAUUGGGCAAAUGGGCGCAAGCCUGACCCAGCAACGCCGCGUGAAGGAAGAAGGCUUUCGGGUUGUAAACUUCUUUUAAGGGGGAAGAGUAGAAGACGGUACCCCUAGAAUAAGCCACGGCUAACUACGUGCCAGCCGCGGC